GACGAACGCUGGCGGCGUGCUUAACACAUGCAAGUCGAACGGUGAAGCGCCUUCCUUUUUGGUUGGUGUGGAUGAGUGGCGAACGGGUGAGUAACACGUGAGUAACCUGCCCCCUUCUUCUGGAUAACCGCAUGAAAGUGUGGCUAAUACAGGAUAUUCUGGUUCUGUCGCAUGAUGGGUCUGGGAAAGAUAUUGUUUCGGUGGGGGAUGGGCUCGCGGCCUAUCAGCUUGUUGGUGGGGUGAUGGCCUACCAAGGCGGUGACGGGUAGCCGGCCUGAGAGGGUGGACGGUCACACUGGGACUGAGGCACGGCCCAGACUGAUACGGGAGGCAGCAGUGGGGAAUAUUGCACAAUGGGCGCAAGUCUGAUGCAGCGACGCCGCGUGAGGGAUGGAGGCCUUCGGGUUGUGAACCUCUUUCGCCAGUGAAGCAGGCCUGCCUCGUUUGUGGGUGGGUUGACGGUAGCUGGAUAAGAAGCGCCGGCUAACUACGUG
rnacentral:rRNA from 1 species